GACUUCAGUGGGCUCAGGAUC
rnacentral:miRNA from 1 species